GGUGCGAUAGCUUCCCCUUGAUACAAGGUUAUGUAUGCUUGGGUGCCGAUUGGUUUGCACAACAUAGAGUUCCAAAUGUGCAAAAUUUGCCUAAGGUUGUAGAGACGGAUAAGGAAAUCAUCUCUUUACCUCUAUUCUUCCCAAACCACAAGGAGAUGUGAUCACUUACUCCAAGCCGAAUGAUUAUGAGAGACAAAAGAUUGAGAGGAUUAAGGGUGUGCAAG
rnacentral:lncRNA from 1 species